rnacentral:rRNA from 1 species
UACGAAGGGGGGCUAGCGUUGCUCGGAAUCACUGGGCGUAAAGGGUGCGUAGGCGGGUCUUUUAAGUCAGGGGUGAAAUCCUGGAGCUCAACUCCAGAACUGCCUUUGAUACUGAGGAUCUUGAGUCCGGGAGAGGUGAGUGGAACUGCGAGUGUAGAGGUGAAAUUCGUAGAUAUUCGCAAGAACACCAGUGGCGAAGGCGGCUCACUGGCCCGGUACUGACGCUGAGGCACGAAAGCGUGGGGAGCAAACAGG